rnacentral:tRNA from 1 species
GCGGAUGUAGCUCAGUUGGUUAGAGCGCCGGGUUGUGGUUCCGGAGGCCGAGGGUUCGAUUCCCUUCAUUCGCCCCA